UACAGAGGAGCCAAGCGUUGUCCGGAAUUACUGGGCGUAAAGGGCGCGUAGGCGGUGUGUCAAGUCAGGCGUGAAAGCCCCGGGCUCAACCUGGGAACCGCGCUUGAGACUGGCACGCUAGAGUUCGGGAGAGGAUGGUGGAAUUCCCAGUGUAGAGGUGAAAUUCGUAGAUAUUGGGAAGAACACCGAUGGCGAAGGCAGUCCCCUGGGCCUGUACUGACGCUCAUGCACGAAAGCGUGGGGAGCAAACAGG
rnacentral:rRNA from 1 species